UACGUAGGGGGCAAGCGUUGUCCGGAUUUAUUGGGCGUAAAGAGCUCGUAGGCGGUUCGUCGCGUCGGCUGUGAAAACCUGAGGCUCAACCUCAGGCCUGCAGUCGAUACGGGCGGACUUGAGUACUGCAGGGGAGACUGGAAUUCCUGGUGUAGCGGUGAAAUGCGCAGAUAUCAGGAGGGACACCGGUGGCGAAGGCGGGUCUCUGGGCAGUAACUGACGCUGAGGAGCGAAAGCGUGGGGAGCGAACAGG
rnacentral:rRNA from 1 species